rnacentral:rRNA from 1 species
AUGAGUAUCGUAGACUAUUUUUUAGAGCAGCCUGUAAUUCAUGCUAAUAUCCUUGGUUCAUCUCGGAUGCAAAUGAGUCAUUUGGAAUGUUCAAGUACUUUUUCUUUAUUUUACAGAAAUUGCGAGGUUUAUGCACAUGAAAGCCUUGAAAAUUUUCUAGAAUGCCCUGUGGUUCACGUCAACAUCUCUUCUUCAUCAUGGAUGCAAAUGACUGUUUUCGGACAAAUGUAUUUCUUGUGUACUUUUGCAAGAAACACAAACUUUUUUUCUAACAUGGCAUCAUGUUUUCACGCACGCCAUUUCAUCUGA